rnacentral:rRNA from 1 species
CUACGGGCGGCAGCAGGCGCGAAACCUUUACAAUGCACGAAAGUGUGAUAAGGGAACCCUAAGUGCUUAUCUUUUGAUAGGCUUUUAUUAAGAGUAAAUAUCUUAGUGAAUAAAUGGUGGGUAAGUCUGGUGCCAGCCGCCGCGGUAACACCAGCGCCAUUAGUGGGAACCGUAUAUUUGGCCUAAAGCGUCCGUAGCCUGUUUAACAAAUCUUUUGUAAAGUUGUUGGACUUAACCUAACAGCGCGCAAAAGACACUGUUAAACUUGGAACUUGGAGGAGUUAGAAGUAUUUUUGGGGUAGUGGUAAAAUAUUAUAAUCCUAAAAAGACUACCGGUGGCGAAAGCGUCUAACUAGAACAGAUUCGACGGUGAGGGACUAAAGCCAGGGGAGCGAUCCGGAUUAGAUACCCCGGUAGUC